rnacentral:rRNA from 1 species
GAUGAACGCUGGCGGCGUGCCUAAUACAUGCAAGUCGAGCGAACGGACGAGAAGCUUGCUUCUCUGAUGUUAGCGGCGGACGGGUGAGUAACACGUGGAUAACCUACCUAUAAGACUGGGAUAACUUCGGGAAACCGGAGCUAAUACCGGAUAAUAUUUUGAACCGCAUGGUUCAAAAGUGAAAGACGGUCUUGCUGUCACUUAUAGAUGGAUCCGCGCUGCAUUAGCUAGUUGGUAAGGUAACGGCUUACCAAGGCAACGAUGCAUAGCCGACCUGAGAGGGUGAUCGGCCACACUGGAACUGAGACACAGUCCAGACUCCUACGGGAGGCAGCAGUAGGGAAUCUUCCGCAAUGGGCGAAAGCCUGACGGAGCAACGCCGCGUGAGUGAUGGAGGUCUUCGGAUCGUAAAACUCUGUUAUUAGGGAAGAACAUAUGUGUAAGGAACUGUGCACAUCUUGACGGUACCUAGUCAGAAAGCCACGGCUAACUACGUG